CUUCCCUCCCUCCCUCCUCCCUGUCCCUUUCCUCCUUUAAAUAUUGAUGGUAUCACACUAGCAGCCUGCUAAUGUAACUGUGGUUGGCACUCUGCAGAGGCAAAGGGAACUGCAGGUACAGUCGCAGUUGCUCUAGCUAAGACUUCCAAUAUUAUGCGGAACCGAAGUGGUUGGAGUCAGCAUCCGUGACUUGUUCCUCAUCUGAGAGGAAAAGCUUUCAGGCUUUCACUGUGGAGUAUGAUACUACCCGUAGGCUUUUCGUAAAUUACUCUUAUCAUGUUGAGAUCAAAUGAAGGUGAACGACAGCUGUGUUGGAAUUACAAUGUAAAUUGCAACGUGCAAAGCCUACUUGAACAGGAAAAGCUGAUGUGAAGCGGACAGUCAUGAUGAAGGCCUCCACUCUGACCUGGUUUGAA